rnacentral:tRNA from 1 species
GGGCAGGUACCGAAGUGGUCAACCGGGGCAGACUGUAAAUCUGCUGGCUUACGCCUUCGGGGGUUCGAAUCCCUCCCUGCCCACCA